rnacentral:rRNA from 1 species
UACGUAGGGACCGAGCGUUGUCCGGAUUCAUUGGGCGUAAAGAGCUCGUAGGCGGCUGCUCAAGUCGAAUGUGAAAAACUCGAGGCUCAACCUCGAGCCUGCAUUCGAUACUGGGCGGCUAGAGUCUGGUAGGGGGAUCUGGAAUUCCUGGUGUAGCGGUGGAAUGCGCAGAUAUCAGGAGGAACACCGGUGGCGAAGGCGGGAUCCUGGGCCAGUACUGACGCUGAGGAGCGAAAGCGUGGGGAGCAAACAGG